rnacentral:tRNA from 1 species
GGUCUCUUAGCUAAGCUGGCAGAGCAUGCGCUGUACAAAAGCGUAGGCGAAGUCCACGCGUGGGUUCGAAUCCCACCGAGGCCA